GACGAACGCUGGCGGCGUGCUUAACACAUGCAAGUCGAACGGAAAGGCCCUGCUUUUGUGGGGUGCUCGAGUGGCGAACGGGUGAGUAACACGUGAGUAACCUGCCCCUGACUUUGGGAUAACUUCAGGAAACUGGGGCUAAUACCGGAUAGGAGCUCCUGCUGCAUGGUGGGGGUGGGAAAGUUUCGGCGGUUGGGGAUGGAAUCGCGGCUUAUCAGCUUGUUGGUGGGGUAGUGGCUUACCAAGGCUUUGACGGGUGGCCGGCCUGAGAGGGUGACCGGACACAUUAGGACUGAGAUACGGCACGGACUCCUACGGGAGGCAGCAGUGGGGAAUAGUGUACAAUGGGCGGAAGCCUGAUGCAGCAACGCCGCGUGGGGGAUGACGUCCUGCGGGUAGUAUAGCGCAGCUGCUUGUGACGAGGCGUGAGUGACGGUAAUGGGUAAAGAAGCACCGGCUAACUACGUG
rnacentral:rRNA from 1 species